rnacentral:rRNA from 1 species
UACGUAGGGUGCAAGCGUUAAUCGGAAUUACUGGGCGUAAAGCGUGCGCAGGCGGCUUUGCAAGACAGAUGUGAAAUCCCCGGGCUUAACCUGGGAACUGCAUUUGUGACUGCAUGGCUGGAGUGCGGCAGAGGGGGAUGGAAUUCCGCGUGUAGCAGUGAAAUGCGUAGAUAUCAGGAGGAACACCGGUGGCGAAGGCGGCCCUCUGGACGGUGACUGACGCUGAGACGCGAAAGCGUGGGGAGCAAACAGG